rnacentral:rRNA from 1 species
GCUCAGGAUGAACGCUGGCGGCGUGCUUAACACAUGCAAGUCGAACGAAGCAUUUAAAACAGAUUUUUUCGGAAUGAAGUUUUUUAUGACUGAGUGGCGGACGGGUGAGUAACGCGUGGGUAACCUGCCUCACACAGGGGGAUAGCAGUUGGAAACGACUGGUAAUACCGCAUAAGCGCACAGCUUCGCAUGAAGCGGUGUGAAAAACUCCGGUGGUGUGAGAUGGACCCGCGUCUGAUUAGGUAGUUGGUGAGGUAACGGCCCACCAAGCCGACGAUCAGUAGCCGACCUGAGAGGGUGACCGGCCACAUUGGGACUGAGACACGGCCCAGACUCCUACGGGAGGCAGCAGUA